UACGGGGGGGGCAAGCGUUGUUCGGAAUUACUGGGCGUAAAGGGCUCGUAGGUGGCCAACUAAGUCAGACGUGAAAUCCCUCGGCUUAACCGGGGAACUGCGUCUGAUACUGGAUGGCUUGAGUUCGGGAGAGGGAUGCGGAAUUCCAGGUGUAGCGGUGAAAUGCGUAGAUAUGCGGAGGAACACCGAUGGCGAAGGCAAUCCCCUGGGCCUGCACUGACGCUCAUGCACGAAAGCGUGGGGAGCGAUCCGG
rnacentral:rRNA from 1 species